AAAAAAAUGUGUAGGUACAUAAGUGGAAAGAAACUUAUGUAACUAGUGUACUAGUUAUCAAAAUUAAAUAAAUAAAUAUUAUAGGACAUUAUUACAGAAAUUGACUAAGCCCCACGGUAAGCUCAAUAAGGCUUGUGUUGAGGGUACUUAGACAACGAUAUAUAUAAUAUAUUAACGAUGUAUAUAAAAUUGUAUACAAACACAUUGGUAAAAUAUUAGAAUACUUGCGUUGCGUUAAACUAUUUUCAAUCUCAUUUACGACCGGUCUAUAUUUACCUACACUUGGCUAUGCAUUGGAUCCCAGAUCCUUGAAUCCUAGGUACCCAUUUAGAACUGUUGACAUUCUACAUCACGUAUUCUAUGGCAUGAGCCUGGGCGGGCGGCGAGGCGGAGGGGGAAGGGACACGCGAUUGGCCCGGCACACCUCAACCGAGCCUUCAGUCUGCACCCGGCCGCCGCGGAGCGCGCACGUCGCUCGUCCCACCGAUCUUACUCGGCUCAUCCGCGUGUUACCACUACAUCCAUUCUUCAAUUAAAUUGAGUGUGAAAACGAAUAGUCUAUUCGCGUAUAGUUUAGACAGCCUGUGACGCCACUAACCACCGAGCUAAGGGUUGUUUUCGACGCUACGCGUCAAUACGUACCAGUGUAAUGUAAUGAGCUCUGUUGACGGCAACCUAUAGAGGAUUUUCAGCAAAAGUAAGCAUCUGAUGUCUUCACUCUCCAGUUCUUAUUUGGCAUAAAUACAUGUAGGUACUGAACGUUAAAAUCUACGAAGAAAUGUGGGUCAACACUCCUGUAGUCCCCCGACCCGCCACCUGAAUAACGCCAUGACAUCCGAAACCCCUCUCGAUGCCAAAAAGAAACAGGACGCUAAAAAGGACUGCGCCAAAUUCGCAGAAGACAAAACAAAUGAACACAAAACUAUAGAAGAAGACAAAAGAAAAAGAUCCAAUGAACUGAUGAGGCUAGUCUACGAACUACCUGAAGAAAUAAAAAAAGAAGUGACUGAGAAUAAUAAUAUGUUAAAAGAGAACCCACCAGUCAUGAUAGUCGAGAUAACAGAACAGAAUGGUUGUGAACCGGACAAAAAAUGUGAUAACGAUUACCUUACAGAAAUAGAUUCUAGUCCAGACUUAGGCAAUAGUGUCGUAUAUGACGUUUUAGCUACUAAUGAACUCAUAAUGCACGCGGAGGAGUAUAAAGAAGUGAUUGUGCGUUCUUCGCCUGAAUGUGCGGAUGAAGACUUGUUAGAGUUAAAGAAGUUGAUUGAAGCUAGUCCUAAAGUGUUAGAGAGGUAUGUUAGGGAAUGUGCGAGUAGUGAAGAAGUGAAUAGACUGCAUAGUUUGACGUCUACUGGGCCGCUGUCGCCGCGGCAGCAUCAGGCGAGGAGUACGUCGGUUACGUCAGACCUGUUCCAGUUAUGGCUGUCAUCAUCGCCUGUUAAGAGAUCGCGGUCUCCAAGCGGCUCAGCUUCUCAGCGGCAGCUGGAGGAGGCGGAUCUGUUCAUGGACCUGAUAAAGGACGUAGCCAACGAGUUGGAUAUUAACGUGUUAUGUCAUAAGAUCCUAGUGAACGUGUGCCUGCUAACAUCGGCCGAUCGCGGCAGUUUGUUCCUGGCCAAAGGAACGCCGCCUAACCGCUAUCUUCAAGCUAAGCUGUUCGACGUCACGAGAGACACAGAUUUAACCGAGGCCUUGAGCACAGCACAAUCGCAAGAAAUCAGGAUCCCAUUCGGCGUUGGAGUAGCGGGCGUUGCCGCUCAGACAAAACACCACAUCAACAUCAAAAAUGCAUACGCAGAUCCCAGGUUCAACAGUGAGAUCGACGCCCGCACCGGAUACAAGACAGAGCUCAUUCUUUGUAUGCCCAUCUGCAACUAUGAAGGAGGAGUUGUUGGCGUCGCUCAAAUCAUUAACAAAACUGAUGGCUCCAAAGAAUUUUCCCCUCGCGACGUGGAAGUCUUCCGCCGCUACCUCACCUUCUGUGGCAUUGGCAUCCAGAACGCCCAGCUCUUCGAGUCCUCGGUCCUCGAGUACAAGAGGAACCAGAUACUCCUGGCCCUGGCUAGGAGCAUAUUUGAGGAGCAGAGCAACUUGGAGUGCCUAGUCACAAAGAUUAUGACUGAAGCGAGGGAUUUGCUGAAGUGUGAUCGGUGCGCUGUCUUCAUUUUGGAUACGGAUCAUUGUGAAUCUAGUCACUUGGAGCGUAUAGUUCAAAGGCCUGGCGGCGAGCGCUCCACGACCCUCGCACUCCCGCCACCAGCGCCCACCAGGUUCCACACACUCUUCGAACUUGGAGCUAAGCAGUCCAGAACCACAUUAACACCAAGACACGACUACCAGUCUACAUUAGCCUGCAUUGCUUUAGCCGUGGCUCAAUCCAAUAAAGCCUUAAAUAUCUCCGAGGUGUCAGACUGGAGGAAAGAGCACGGUAUCGAGUUACAAGACCCAGAGAAUGACGACGCGAAGGAUGUCAGGACGAUGCUCUGCAUGCCCAUCGUUAACGCUAAUAAAGACGUUAUUGGUGUGGCACAACUUAUCAAUAAGGAAAACGGUUGUCAAUUCACCGACGGCGAUAUAUCGAUAUUCGAGGCAUUCGCCAUCUUUUGCGGUCUAGGCAUCCACAACACGCAGAUGUAUGAGAACGCUUGCAAGCUGAUGGCUAAACAAAAGGUUGCGCUAGAAUGUCUAUCAUACCACGCUACAGCCUCAGCAGAAGACACCAACAAGCUGUGCCAGGAUAUCAUCCCCACUGCCGAAACCUACAAUCUUUACAGCUUUCAGUUCCAUGACUUCGACCUAUCUGACGAAGACACGUGCAGAGCGACGCUCAGAAUGUUCCUCCAGUGCAACCUGGUCGAGAAGUUCCACAUACCUUAUGACGUCUUAUGUCGUUGGAUACUAAGUGUCAAGAAGAACUAUAGACCAGUAAAGUACCACAACUGGCGACACGCCCUAAACGUAGCACAAACCAUGUUCGCGAUGCUGAAGACCGGCAAAAUGGAGCGAUUCAUGUCGGACCUAGAAAUUCUAGGUUUACUAGUUGCUUGCCUAUGCCAUGACCUGGAUCAUAGAGGGACGAAUAACGCGUUUCAAACGAAGACCGAAAGUCCUCUUGCGAUUUUAUAUUCGACAUCGACUAUGGAGCAUCACCACUUCGAUCAGUGCGUCAUGAUUUUGAAUAGUGAAAGCAAUAAUAUAUUUCAGGCUCUCUCCCCUUGCGAUUACAAGGACGUAAUGCGGGUGGUAGAAACAGCCAUACUUUCAACAGACCUGGCGAUGUAUUUCAAGAAGAAGUCCAAGUUCCUAGAGCUGGUCGACAACGGGGAGUUCGACUGGCAGAGUCAGGAGAAAAAAGAGUUACUAUGCGGCAUGAUGAUGACAGCCUGCGACGUGUCAGCCAUCGCCAAGCCGUGGGAAGUCCAACAUAAGGUCGCCAAGCUGGUCGCUGACGAGUUCUUCGACCAGGGGGAUUUGGAGAAGUUACAGCUCAACCAGCAGCCCAUUGCUAUGAUGGACAGAGAAAAGAAAGACGAGCUGCCCCAAAUGCAAGUAGGCUUCAUCGACAUGAUCUGCCUGCCGCUAUACAGGGUGCUCUCAGACACGUUCCCCUGGAUCCAGCCCCUGUACACAGGCACCCUGGACAACCGGAACCGCUGGCAGGACCUGGCGGAGAAGGUGGAGAUGGGGCUCACGUGGAUCGACCAUGACACUAUUGAUAAACCUAUUGAAGAGUUUACUGCAUCCAGCGAACCAAUCAAAGACGUGGAAUUUACUGUGACCACGUUAAACUGCGCUAAGACCGCUGCCGAAACGUCCAUGGCGGUGGCCAAACCUAUAAAGACCCCCUUUCACUCUUUAAGGAGGGGGAAAACUGGGAACUUUACGUCUAGGUCGGCGAGAAGCAAACUUACUAGAUCAAUGUACGCGGCGCCCAGCUACCGGGAGGAGAGAUCAAGCAUAAAGAGGCCGGAGAGCCAGCCGCCGGUGCCAGAAGAGCCGGAGCAGACAAGCAAGAUUAAGCAUGAAGGGCGCUUGUGCCAUAUGUUGUGACGUUUAAGUUUUAACUGGUAAGUCUCUGCAAUAUCCCUACAAAUAUUAUAUAGAGGAAAGCUACCCGUCAGUGCAAGAAGAGCCGGAGCAGGCAAGCAAGAUUAAGCAUAAAGGGCGCUUGUGCCAUAUGUUGUGACGUUUAAGUUUUAACUGGUAAGUCUCUGCAAUAUCCCUACAAAUAUUAUAUAGAGAAAAACUACCCGUCAGUGCAAGAAGAGCCGGAGCAGGCAAGCAAGAUUAAGCAUAAAGGGCGCUUGUGCCAUAUGUUGUGACGUUUAAGUUUUAACUGGUAAGUCUCUGCAAUAUCCCUACAAAUAUUAUAUAGAGGAAAGCUACCCGUCGGUGCAAGAAGAGCCGGAGCAGGCAAGCAAGAUUAAGCAUAAAGGGCGCUUGUGCCAAAUGUUGUGAUGUUUAAGUUUUAACUGGUAAGUCUCUGCAAUAUCCCUACAAAUAUUAUAUAGAGAAAAACUACCCGUCAGUGCAAGAAGAGCCGGAGCAGGCAAGCAAGAUUAAGCAUAAAGGGCGCUUGUGCCAUAUGUUGUCACGUUUAAGUUUUAACUGGUAAGUCUCUGCAAUAUCCCUACAAAUAUUAUAUAGAGGAAAGCUACCCGUCGGUGCAAGAAGAGCCGGAGCAGACAAGCAAGAUUAAACAUAAAGGGCGUCUGUUUCAUAUGUUGUGACGUUUAAGUUUUAACUGGAGCAGCCAGAGUAGCACCGAGAAGCCGGAUCGAGUGAAGCCGUCCAAAUCGAUCGAUUGAACUGAAACCGAUAAGGGGUUAUUAUGUACACCUAUCCUUUUCUGCUACCUUGCUCUUAAGAGAGACAGAGAAAUCCUUACCCUGUGUUCUCAGUGUCAUGGAAAGGAUAGAUGUAAUUACCCCAAUAGGUACCUACUCUGCGAUCCAGUUACGACAAAAUGUCGUUUAGAUGCAAUUCUGUACAAUUCUACUAAGAAUAAGUGUAUUCUUAUAAGAAAAUGCUAUCUACUGAGUACGAAAUUCUUGCGGUUAUUCCUGUUUUAUUAAAGCUGUGCAAUUAUUUUAUACAAUAAUAAGUCUUUUUCUCACCAAUUACAUUAAAUCGGAACGAGAAAAUGAACGGAUGAAUUGAUUUAGCUGAAAUAAUACUUGAAAACGUGUUAUAAAACAUUGGAAUAGCUGCAAAGGUAUUUCAUAAAUCUUAGAAAUUCAACUACUUGAACAGUACUACUUUUAGUGAAUAAUAUUUGGGAUUGUGGAUUAAGUAUUUAGUUUGUUGAUUCUUAUAGCUUUAAUUUGAACUAUUUCAGUUACCAAGUUUCAGCGCUUACCAAAAAUAUUUAUAUAAGAAACUAUGGCAUAAUUGCCUUAGUUAUUUAUAAUUUAUUAUACAACUUAUUAGUCUUAUUACCAUUAUAUUUAUUAAGCUAGUAUUUACUUUAUUGGACGAAAUAAUAUCACAAGCCGAAAAUUAUUAAUAUUAUAAUCUUUAUUUCGGACCAAGGAAAAUUAUUUUCUUGACCCUUAUAACGCCAAAAACUUGGAGGAUUUAAUAACUGGAGAUGCCUUAUCUGUAAUUUUCUGUACAAAACAGCCGAUUUUUGCGGGGGAGGGGCACGUCAAAUGCAGAUAAGGCUAUUUGUACGUAACGAACAAAUAGCCAUGUCAGAUAUACGUCAGUCCGUAAAAUACAUAUGACCAUUGGCCGAGGUUUUCGACGAAGGGGUAACAUCUUAAAGGUGACUCCAGAGGGUCUACCACGAAUCCCGUUCGACGUGUUGCCUCCAUGUUACACUUGCGUACGAAUGUACAGGUGCGACAGAGAGGCAACAAGUCGAACGUGGUUCACGGUAAGCCCGUAGUUGUUAAAUCCUCUAAAACCAAAGACAUCAACAGACACGCACGGUGACAGAUUUAUAACCUUUGGACAUUACGAUAAGGUUUAAUACGUUAUAUAGUGGCAUACGUGGCAUUCAAGAGGUUAAUUCUAGAUAGUUUUCAAUUAAACUUUUUAUUUAAUAAGUUAUUUGAUUAUAUCUUUAUUAUAGUAGGAGAUACGUUAUAAGGAAUAUCUACCCUCAUCUGUGAUUUGUGAUAAGAAGUGAUAGAUAAUAUUCACAUUGACACAUGGAAAAUAGGUUGCCUAGUAAAAUAGCGUACGGAUAUUUUUUUUACGUACUUUUUGUUAUUUAAUCGUGUAUAACGUCAAAUCAAACCUUAUUUUAUAUAUAAUCUAACUGUAAUAUAAAUAAUAAUAAAUGAUAAUAAUUCAGCCUAUAUAAGUCCCACUGCUGGGCACAGGCCUCCUCAUGUGCGAGAGGGCUCGGGCUAUAGUCCCCACGCUAGCCCAAUGCGGAUUAGGGACUUCACAUACACCUUUGAAUUUCUUCGCAGAUGUAUGCAGGUUUCCUCACGAUGUUUACCUUCACCGAAAAGCUAGUGGUAAAUAUCAAAUGACACUGAACUGAAACUGAAAUAUGCCUUAUUAAAAAGUUAGUCCAGUCCAUGGUAUGGUAGUUGCCUAGAUUAACCGAUUUUUAUCUAAAAUCUAGGCAACCAUAGACUACACCAACUUUUUAAUACGGCAACCUAGUUAAAUUAUUAACUAAGCUUUCAUGCAAUAUAAUAUACGAUUAAAUAACAACGAUAAAAGUAAAAAAAAAAAACUUUCCGUACGCAAUUAACUUGGCAACCUAUUCACAAUGUGUCAAUGUGAAUAUUAUCUAUGUGAAUAUUUCCUAUCACAAAUAAAUAACAGAUGAGGAUAGAUAUUCCUCAUAACGUAUCUUAGACUAUUACUUUUUAACUACGGCAACUUUCGAAUGAAUGCCUUAGAAAAAUAUUAGUGUAGUAAUAGUAACACCAUUUUGGUGUUCGUUUUCUUGUAAAUCGAAUAGGUAAAUGUUUAUCUUAUUGAUGUAUUAUUUACAUAGACUGUGAUCUAGCAUUACUUCGCGAAAUUCUAUUUUAAAACUUCGUACUGUAGGUUGUGUCAAACGUUGUAGCAAUCUAACUUAGAGGUCUCGGUAUUGUAAAUAAACUUUGUCUUCAUGAGCGAUUUCCAUUUUUUUAUACAAAAAUCAUUUUUCUCUAUCUUACUCAAAAUUCGAUGUUGACAGCAAGGCUCGGAACCGGUUUUAAAAAUAGCGGUAAAUAUCGCUUUUACUCCGAACUUUCAUAAAAAUGCGAACGUUUUAAGAACUUUAUUGUACUUAACCUAAAUAAACCGGUUUAUUCGACGAGCGACGAGACGACCGGCCGGCAUGGAGGUGUGCCGCGUAAACCAAAGCACCGACUUAGAAAAAAACAUUUUUUUUUUUGUAUUAAACCGGUUAAUCUGACAAGAACUUUAUGAAAAUGUUCUCCUAAAAACCGGUUGAAAAAUAACGGUUUUACGAACGAAUCCUAAAUUAAAAGGUUUUGCGCCAAAUACAUAUGAAAUUUAACCGGUUUUCGAGCCUUGGUUGAGAGUAGAAAACUCCUAGAAUUUUUCAAGGACCUAAUCAAAAAAAAAUUGUAAUCACUGUAUAAAAAAAACCAUAUUUUCUUAAUGGAUGAUACAAUUUUCAAGAAAACAAAUUUAUGUAAAAAAAAUGGAGAAAUCUCAAAAGCAUGCAACUUGAAAACUUUUAAAAUAGAAUAUUCGUAUCUUGGCCUGAUACCGUGAUGUAUCGGAUGUUUUAGAAUAAAAUAUUUACUAAUAGAUUAUAAGAGAUUUUUACGAGAAUAAUUAUUGUGACUUCGAUCAAUUACUUUUCAAAUAAGAUAUUAGUUUAUUGCUGUUGACAUUAAUUGUUUGAAGCUGAAAGUAUUAUGAUGCUAGUCGAUGUUUCGUUUUCCAAGGAACAUUACGUCCAUUUGCUUAUGAAGCUACCAUGUGCAAUAUUUCUAUUUUUAUGGUGGGUAGGAUAGAACAAUUUUUAAAUCCGUAGCCUAGAACAGUUUAAUAUUGUACCGUAUGUUGACUGCCAGUAUACCACAGAAUUAGACGAUUAUUUUCCCUUUAGACUGUUAGUAGUGAUUUUAUAUUACAAUAUCUAGCGAUGUAUAAUUGAGACUCAGUUUCAUAUACCUGCCGAAGCAAAAAUUUGAUUAUCUUCAUUUCAUAAAACACAUUCAGAACACUAUUUUAAUUCAUCAUUUAUUCAGCAAAAUUAGAACUACGUACAUUUUAAUUUUCCUGCAUUUGAAUAGCAUUAAGUUGAGUCAAGACGGGUCAAUUUUCCGCCAAUCUGAUUAAAUUUCGCGAUCCAAUCGGUACCCCUAGUGUAAAUAAAUUCGAUUUCGAAACGUGACGUACGCGUUUGCGUUAAGUCUCAUUUUGUAUAGGAUUUUGAGUUUCCAAAACGUCCCGCUUGGCGCGCUCUUUCUAAAUCCAAUACAAAAUGAGACUAAACGCAAACGCGUACGUCACGUUUCGAAAUCGAAUUUAUUUACACUAGGAGUACAGGUCAAAUAAAGUGGAGGUGCGGACGUAAGAAUACCAAUUGAUGACUAUAGUAUUUGUGUUUGUUGUAUCGCGUACAUUUUUUAAUUUAAAGCCCUCAAAUAUCACUUUUAAACUCAAAUUGGUGAUUAAAUUGGGGAUUGACGCCAAAUUUAUUUUCUUAUCAAAUCGAUUGAUUAGGUUAUCCCGUCUGGACUCCACUUUACGUAGGUAUAUAAAUUCAUAUGAAAUAAUGUGACAGAAGAAUUCAGACAGCACUUAAUUCAAAUGCGAAAUAGACAAUUACAUACCUAUAUUCGUAAGAAUAAUGAUUAAUAUUAUAUUCUAACUGAACUAUGUUUAUAAUAUUAAUAAUUAUUCUCUAAGUACCUGUGUAUAAUAUUAUUAACAAUUACAUUUUUGAAUUUUUAUUGUAAUAGGUAGAUCGAAUGAUACGAGGUGUGAUUAAAUAAACGUUUUAAUAUUAGAUAAAUGUGUCUUAAACUUUUAGAUGGAAACAAAAUUAUUUGUAUCAUAUUAUGGACUAUUAUGACAAGUACUCUGUUUUGACGUUGAAAGUUAUAUUUUUUAUAAGUCUUCAAUAUUUCUGUGAAAUGUACAGCAACGAAGUUGUAUUUUAAUUUAAAAACGUUAUGUUACCAAAAAUAUUAUUUAUACUAACGUUAUUUAUUUGUAAAAACUUUUAAUUACUUGGGCUUUUGAAAAAAAACUUGUUUAUUUUUUGUCAAAAUACUUAUCUAACAAGGCAGUAAUUUUUCAAUUUUAAAUUUAUUCUAAGCAUAAUAGUUCGCAGCCGUUUCUGCUUGUUAAAAAUUAAUUUUAAAUACCUAACAUUUAAAAUUGCAGAAACGAUCAAUGUGAUCGCGGCCCUUUGUCGCUUGUCAUAAGAUAUGACAGGUUAUUCGAAUACAGAUACAAGCAAAUCUCGUCCUUACGGCAAGCGACAAAGUGGGACCUUUUGCCGGCCGUGGUCACAAAUAUAGAACAUGACGUAGGUAUGUACAUACCUAUAAUUUACAACAUCAUUAUACUUAUUUUGAAAAAAAAAUGAAACAUUCCACUUAGGGUCCCACUGAUUAUCAGUUCGCCGGACGAUAUCGGCCUGUCAGUUCGCAAAAGCUGACUAAUCGCGAAUAUCUGACAGGCCGAUAUCGUCCGGCGAACUGGUAAUCAGUGGACCCCUUAAAGUAAUAAUUAUGUUAUUGUUAAAAUAAGUGAUAUCUAAUUGCGAUAACAUGCAAAUUAAUUUCAUAGCAUGUUUUCUUACGUUAUCCAUCCGUUUCAUACACGGAAUGUAAAGAUCGUUCCAAAGAAACAUUGUAUUGAAAUCUUCCAAACACUACACGAAAUUGUUUCUUUUACUUACUUACUCCGUUGGCUCAGCGACCCAAAAUGAGACUUGGCCUCCGACACAAGACAGCGCCACUUUUCUCGGUCCUGUGCGACCUCUCGCCAAUUGUCGACUCGAAGCUCGCGCAGAUCCGCCUCCACCAUGUCGCUCCAGCGAUACCUAGGGCGUCCGAUAGGACGUCCUCCUGCUAGGCGACCCAGGUACGCUCUUUUUACGUUCCGAUCUUCGUCCAUUCUCUCAAGGUGGCCCAACCAACGGAGUCUGUGGGCUUUACUUCCUCCCAUGAUGUUUCUUUUACUACAGUUAUAAAAAUACUGAAUGUGUACACGAAUUAAACGUAUUGUGAACAUA